GUGCGAAGGUCCCAGCGGAGAGGUGGAGUAAUCUUUCAAUUGAGAUCUCUCCAACAAUUUGAAUUUUUCCUUCGCAAAUUGAUAUCCGAAUCGUAGGAUGCCCUUAAUUCUAUUGUUGGAGUGUCUUGAACCCUCGGAUACAUUCUU